rnacentral:misc_RNA from 1 species
GAUGAAGAACGUAGCGAAAUGCGAUAAGUAAUGUGAAUUGCAGAAUUCCGUGAAUCAUCGAAUCUUUGAACGCACAUUGCGCCCCCUGGCAUUCCGGGGGGCAUGCCUGUCCGAGCGUCAUUUCUGCCCUCAAGCACGGCUUGUGUGUUGGGUGUGGUCCCCCCGGGGACCUGCCCGAAAGGCAGCGGCGACGUCCGUCUGGUCCUCGAGCGUAUGGGGCUCUGUCACUCGCUCGGGAAGGACCUGCGGGGGUUGGUCACCACUAUAUUUUACCACGGUUGACCUCGGAUCAGGUAGGAGUUACCCGCUGAACUUAAGCAUAUCAAUCAGCGGAGGA